CAUCAAUAUCUAUGGCAUUGUACUGACAAAAACAGUGCUUUUAGGCAUUCCAUGUUUUCUUUUCUGUCUAUUUUAGUCACAUGAUACACACAGGAGGUAGAAUUUGAUUACACAACCAUUGUUUCUAACGACUUUUGAUGGUCUAAUAAUUAUUUCUGUGACUGUAAAUUUCUACACCUUGGAAAUC